UCAAAAGGAGAUCCAGCUCCAGUAUUCAUCGCCAGUUCGUUGCCCCUGAUGGACUUCAUUACCACGAGUGGUCGCCUGAGUCAUCAGCUCUCCCGGAUCCAAGUCUCUGCUAUCUACCAGCCACGUCUCAAGCCUCAGCCUGCCACCAGAUUCACCACGAGCCUCUGCCGAACUUCCAGUCACGCCACGAAAUACCAUCUGGUCUCCCCGCUUCCCCAACAACCUCUGGACCAAGAACAAAUAAACUUUAUUACUCACCCCUUAA